rnacentral:rRNA from 1 species
CCCUAGCACAGGUGCUGCAUGGCCGUCGUCAGCUCGUGCCGUGAGGUGUUGGGUUAAGUCCCGCAACGAGCGCAACCCCCGCCGUUAGUUGCCAGCGGUUCGGCCGGGCACUCUAACGGGACUGCCCGCGAAAGCGGGAGGAAGAGGGGACGACGUCUGGUCAGCAUGGCCCUUACGGCCUGGGCGACACACGUGCUACAAUGCCCACUACAAAGCGAGGCCACCCGGCAACGGGGAGCUAAUCGCAAAAAGGUGGGCCCAGUUCGGAUUGGGGUCUGCAACCCGACCCCAUGAAGCCGGAAUCGCUAGUAAUCGCGGAUCAGCCAUGCCGCGGUGAAUACGUUCCCGGGCCUU